UACGUAGGGGGCAAGCGUUGUCCGGAUUUAUUGGGCGUAAAGAGCGUGUAGGCGGCCAUACAGGUCAGCUGUGAAAACUCGAGGCUCAACCUCGAGACGUCGGUUGAAACCGUAUGGCUAGAGUCCGGAAGAGGAGAGUGGAAUUCCCGGUGUAGCGGUGAAAUGCGCAGAUAUCGGGAAGAACACCCAUGGCGAAGGCGGCGACCUGGUCCGAUACUGACGCUGAGGCGCGAAAGCGUGGGGAGCAAACAGG
rnacentral:rRNA from 1 species